rnacentral:rRNA from 1 species
GACAGAGGGUGCAAACGUUGUUCGGAAUUACUGGGCGUAAAGCGCGUGUAGGCGGCUUCGCAAGUCGGGUGUGAAAGCCCUGGGCUCAACCUAGGAAGUGCACUCGAAACUGCGGAGCUUGAGUCCUGGAGAGGAAGGCGGAAUUCUCGGUGUAGAGGUGAAAUUCGUAGAUAUCGAGAGGAACACCGGUGGCGAAGGCGGCCUUCUGGACAGUGACUGACGCUGAGACGCGAAAGCGUGGGGAGCAAACAGG